UACGAAGGGGGCUAGCGUUGCUCGGAAUCACUGGGCGUAAAGGGCGCGUAGGCGGCCGAUCAAGUCAGAGGUGAAAGCCCAGGGCUCAACCCUGGAAUUGCCUUUGAUACUGUUUGGCUAGAGACCGGAAGAGGUUAGUGGAACUGCGAGUGUAGAGGUGAAAUUCGUAGAUAUUCGCAAGAACACCAGUGGCGAAGGCGGCUAAACUGGUCCGGUUCUGGACGCUGAGGCGCGAAAGCGUGGGGAGCAAACAGGG
rnacentral:rRNA from 1 species